AUUUAACACGAAACGAGUGGCGAACUGGUGAGUAACACGUGGGUAACCUGCCCUUGCGGUCGGGGAUACUCCUUGGAAACAGGUGCUAAUGCCGUAGCUGCACCAAAACCACAUGGAUUUGGUCCAACACUUAGCUUCGGCUAUCACUUUAGGAUGGACCCGCGGCGUAUUAGCUUGUUCGUAAGGUAAUGGCCUACCAAGGCAAUGAUACGUAGCCGACCUGAGAGGGUAAUCGGCCACAUUGGGACUGAGACACGGCCCAAACUCCUACGGGAGGCAGCAGUAGGGAAUCUUCCACAAUGGACGAAAGUCUCAUGGAGCAACGCCGCGUGAGUGAUGAAGGGUUUCGGCUCGGAAAACUCUGUUGUUGGAGAAGAACAGGUAUCAGAGUAACUGUUGACAUCUUGACGGUAUCCAACCAGAAAGCCACGGCUAACUGUGUGCCAGCAGCCGCGGUAAUACGUAGGUGGCAAGCGUUGUCCGGAUUUAUUGGGCGUAAACCGAGCGCAGGCGGUUUCUUAGGUCUGAUGUGAAAGCCUUCGGCUUAACCGGAGAAGUGCAUCGGAAACCUGCAGACUUGAGUAGAGGUGUGGACAGUGUAACUCCAUGUGUAGCGGUGAAAUGCGUAGAUAUAUGGAAGAACACCAGUGGGGAAGGCCGCUGUCUGGUCUGUAACUGACGCUACGGCACGAAUGCAUCCCUAGGGAACAGGAUUAGAUACCCUGGUAGUCCAUGCCGUAUUCGUUGAGUGCUAAGUGUUGGUGGGUUUCCGCCCUUCAGUGCUGCAGCUAACGCAAAAAGCACUCCGCCUGGGGAUUACGACCGCAAGGUUGAAACUCAAACCAAUUGACGGGGGCCCGCACAAGCGGUGGAGCAUGUGGUUUAAUUCGAUGCUACGCGAAGAACCUUACCAGGUCUUGACAUCUUCUGCCAACCUAAGAGAUUAGGCGUUCCCUUCGGGGACAGAAUGACAGGUGGUGCAUGGUUGUCGUCAGCUCGUGUCGUGAGAUGU
rnacentral:rRNA from 1 species